UACGUAGGGGGCUAGCGUUGUCCGGAAUCAUUGGGCGUAAAGAGCGUGUAGGCGGCCCGGUAAGUCCGCUGUGAAAGUCGGGGGCUCAACCCUCGAAUGCCGGUGGAUACUGUCGGGCUAGAGUGCGGAAGAGGCGAGUGGAAUUCCAGGUGUAGCGGUGAAAUGCGUAGAUAUCUGGAGGAACACCGGUGGCGAAGGCGACAUCCUGGACCGGUAUUGACGCUGAGGCGCGAAAGCCAGGGGAGCAAACGGG
rnacentral:rRNA from 1 species